rnacentral:rRNA from 1 species
UAUGCUUAGCCUUAAACCUUGAUAUUAUCUCACAUUUAUUAUCCGCCCGGGAACUACGAGCACUAGCUUAAAACCCAAAGGACUUGGCGGUGCUUAACAACCCCCUAGAGGAGCCUGUUCUAGAACCGAUACCCCUCGUUAAACCUCACCCCUUCUUGUUUUUCCCGCCUAUAUACCGCCGUCGUCAGCUUACCCUGUGAAGGAACACUAGUAAGCAAAAUUAGCAAAGCCCAAAACGUCAGGUCGAGGUGUAGCAAAUGAAGGGGGAAGAAAUGGGCUACAUUUUCUGGUACCAGAUACACGAAAAGUGUACUGAAACGUACACUAGAAGGAGGAUUUAGUAGUAAGAAAGAAAUAGAGCGUCUUUCUGAAGCUGGCCCUUAAGCGCGCA